UACGUAGGGGGCGAGCGUUGUCCGGAUUUAUUGGGCGUAAAGAGCGUGUAGGCGGCCAGUCAGGUCCGUUGUGAAAACUCGAGGCUCAACCUCGAGACGUCGAUGGAAACCGUCUGGCUAGAGUCCGGAAGAGGAGAGCGGAAUUCCUGGUGUAACGGUGAAAUGUGCAGAUAUCAGGAAGAACACCCGUGGCGAAGGCGGCUCUCUGGGACGGUACUGACGCUGAGACGCGAAAGCGUGGGGAG
rnacentral:rRNA from 1 species